rnacentral:rRNA from 1 species
UACGGAGGGUGCGAGCGUUGUCCGGCAUCAUUGGGCGUAAAGGGCGCGUAGGUGGCUUCUUAAGCGUGCGGUGAAAGCCUGGGGCUCAACCCCGGGUCGGCCGUGCGAACUGGGGGGCUGGAGCACUGUAGAGGCAGGCGGAAUUCCGGGUGUAGCGGUGGAAUGCGUAGAGAUCCGGAAGAACACCGGUGGCGAAGGCGGCCUGCUGGGCAGUUGCUGACACUGAGGCGCGACAGCGUGGGGAGCAAACAGG